rnacentral:misc_RNA from 1 species
GAUGAAGAACGUAGCGAAAUGCGAUAAGUAAUGCGAAUUGCAGAAUUCCGUGAGUCAUCGAAUCUUUGAACGCACAUUGCGCCCGCCAGUAUUCUGGCGGGCAUGCCUGUUCGAGCGUCAUUUCAACCAUCAAGCCCCGGGCUUGUGUUGGGGACCUGCGGCUGCCGCAGGCCCUGAAAUGCAGUGGCGGGCUCGCUGUCACUCCGAGCGUAGUAGUUACAUCUCGCUCUGGGCGUGCUGCGGGUUCCGGCCGUUAAAAGCCUUAUUUACCCAAGGUUGACCUCGGAUCAGGUAGGAAGACCCGCUGAACUUAAGCAUAUCAAUAAGCGGAGGA